rnacentral:lncRNA from 1 species
GGCGCACGGUUUAUCUUCUCUUCAAACAAGUCAUACUUGUUGAGCACGAGCACAAAUGGGGUGUCUUGGAAGCAUGGUUGCCUGGGUAGAAUAACCCAAGUCAACAUGACUAGAAAUAACAAUUAUAUAUGAAAUCAUGGAUAACAACAAUUAUGUUAUGGGUUUACUAUUGAACUAACUAGGAUAAAUUAAUUUCAUUAAUCUAACACUUAAACUUUGUAUAUUUCUAAUCACAAAAGAAAUUUUAUCAUCUUAAUUCUUUUACCAAUAGGACUGAGCUUCUACUAGCAAAUUCCAGGCAACAUCUCCAGAAAUUAAUACAAAAAAAAAAAAAUUGAGAAAGUGAAGUAAACACCUGACUGUCGCCUCGAAUAACUCCUUGCUCUGGAUCAUCUUAUUCUGAAGAGGUUUACUACUGUCAUUAGCGGCGG